AUUGAACGCUGGCGGCAGGCCUAACACAUGCAAGUCGAGCGGAGCGGCGGACGGGUGAGUAAUGCCUAGGAAUCUGCAUGGUAGUGGGGGAUAACGUCCGGAAACGGGCGCUAAUAUCGCAUACUAUCAGCUGAGCCUAGGUCGGAUGAGCUAGUUGGUGGGGUAAAGGACUACCAAGGCGACGAUCCGUAACGGGUCUGAGAGGAUGAUCAGCCACACUGGGACUGGGACACGGCCCAGACUCCUACGGUAGGCAGCAGUGGGGAAUUUUGGACAAUGGGGGAAACCCUGAUCCAGCCAUCCCGCGUGGAUGAUGACGGCCUUCGGGUGGUAAAGUACUUUUGGCAGAGAAGCGGUAUCUGCAGAAUAAGCACCGGCUAACUACGUGCCAGCCGCCGCGGUAAUUC
rnacentral:rRNA from 1 species